AGGGGUUGCCCUUGGUGAAUUCGCUUUAUUUAUGUUGAAUCACGCAAAGGCAACUUCUGU
rnacentral:pre_miRNA from 1 species